GGGCGGGGGGGCGGCCCCUCUUUACGAUGCAAGUCGAACGAUGAAGCCCUUCGGGGUGGAUUAGUGGCGAACGGGUGAGUAACACGUGGGCAAUCUGCCCUUCACUCUGGGACAAGCCCUGGAAACGGGGUCUAAUACCGGAUAACACCGGCUUCCGCAUGGGAGCUGGUUAAAAGCUCCGGCGGUGAAGGAUGAGCCCGCGGCCUAUCAGCUUGUUGGUGGGGUAAUGGCCUACCAAGGCGACGACGGGUAGCCGGCCUGAGAGGGCGACCGGCCACACUGGGACUGAGACACGGCCCAGACUCCUACGGGAGGCAGCAGUGGGGAAUAUUGCACAAUGGGCGAAAGCCUGAUGCAGCGACGCCGCGUGAGGGAUGACGGCCUUCGGGUUGUAAACCUCUUUCAGCAGGGAAGAAGCGAAAGUGACGGUACCUGCAGAAGAAGCGCCGGCUAACUACGUGCCAGCAGCCGCGGUAAUACGUAGGGCGCAAGCGUUGUCCGGAAUUAUUGGGCGUAAAGAGCUCGUAGGCGGCUUGUCACGUCGGGUGUGAAAGCCCGGGGCUUAACCCCGGGUCUGCAUCCGAUACGGGCAGGCUAGAGUGUGGUAGGGGAGAUCGGAAUUCCUGGUGUAGCGGUGAAAUGCGCAGAUAUCAGGAGGAACACCGGUGGCGAAGGCGGAUCUCUGGGCCAUUACUGACGCUGAGGAGCGAAAGCGUGGGGAGCGAACAGGAUUAGAUACCCUGGUAGUCCACGCCGUAAACGUUGGGAACUAGGUGUUGGCGACAUUCCACGUCGUCGGU
rnacentral:rRNA from 1 species